rnacentral:ncRNA from 1 species
GCCCAGCGCCGAAUCGUUCAGUCUUUGGCUGCUACGAAAUGUGGCGUAUAGGUGUAGUCUUCCAGCAGUGUCGUAUGUCCGAAGUCCUUACGAUUGAGGCCAUAAACCAGAGAGGGUGCGAGCCCCGUUCUGGAUAGCGAUGCUGUUGGUUCGAUUGCUCCUUGGAGUCGGGUUGCUUGAAAGUGCAGCCUAUCGGGCCGUCAAGUUGUCGGAUCUUCGGC